rnacentral:rRNA from 1 species
GGGGAAAAAUUAAUUAAUAAAUAAUAAUAAAAAAAUUUUUAAUAAUAAAUAAUAAAUAAUGUUUUAAUUGGGGGGUUAAAGUAUUAUUUAUAGAAAAAAUUAAAAGUUUUAUAGUUAAUUAGUAUUGAUAAAGAAAUUUGAAAUAGUAAAGAAAAAUUUAUUAAAAAGUAAUUUUAAUUUAAUGUAUCUUGUGUAUCAGAGUUUAUUAAAUAAUAUUUUUGAUAAUAAUUCUCGAAUUUAAAAGAGAUAAUUAAUUAUAAAAGUUAAUGUAGAAAAAUUAUUUUUAAUAAUUAAUUUGAAAUGAAAUGUUAAUCGUUUUUAAAUAUAUCUAGUUUUUUUAGAAAAAAAUUUAAUUUUAAAUUUUUUAAUUAAAAAAUUUAUUAAUAAAUUUUUUAAUUAAAAAAUUUUAUAAUUUAAGGGAUAAGCUUUAAAUUAAAUUAAUAUAAUUUAUUAAAUAUAAAUAUAAUUAAAAUUUUUAUGAUUUAAAUUGUUAAUAAAAUUUAGUUUAUUAUAAAUAAUUUUAAUUAAUUAAUAAAAUUUAAUAUUAAAUUUAUUUUUUUUUUUAUAAAAAAAAAUUUUUUAAUAUUAUAAAAUUAGUUAUAAUGAUAAAAUUAGUAUAUUUAUUUUAAAAUUUGAAUAUUUUAUGAAAUAAUUAAAUGUAAAAUUAUUUUUAAGGAAUUCGGCAAAUAUAUAUAUUCACUUGUUUAUCAAAAACAUGUCUUUUUGAUAAUAAUUUAAAGUCUAAUCUGCCCACUGAUAAUUAAUUAUAUUAAAGGGCUGCAGUAUAUUGACUGUACAAAGGUAGCAUAAUCAAUAGUCAUUUAAUUGAUGACUUGUAUGAAAGAUUGAAUGAAAUAUAAACUGUCUUGAGAAUAAAUUAUAGAAUUUAAUUUUUAAAUUAAAAAGUUUAAAUAAUUUAAAAAGACGAGAAGACCCUAUAGAGUUUUAUAUAAAAUUUAAUUAAAAAUAUUUAUUGAAAAUAAUUUUUUUAAUUGGGUUUUAUAUUGUAUUGGGGUGAUAAGAAAAUAAAAAUAACUUUUUUUUUAAUAAAACAUUAAUAAGUGAUUAAAUGAUCCAAUUUUAUUGAUUAAAAGAAAAAAUUACCUUAGGGAUAACAGCGUUAUUUAUUUUUUUAGYUCAUAUAAAAAUAUAAGUUUGCGACCUCGAUGUUGGAUUAAGAUAAAAAUUAAAUGUAGCAGUUUAAAUUUUUGAUCUGUUCGAUCAUUAAAAUCUUACAUGAUCUGAGUUCAAACCGGUGUAAGCCAGGUUGGUUUCUAUCUUUUAAAAAAUAAAAUAUUUUAGUACGAAAGGAUUGAAUAUUUAAAUUAGAUUUAUUUUUUUUUUGAAUUUGAUUAAAUAAUAUUUAAAAAUUUUAAUUUKAUAUAUAUAUA